AUUGAACGCUGGCGGCAGGCCUAACACAUGCAAGUCGAGCGGUAGAGAGAAGCUUGCUUCUCUUGAGAGCGGCGGACGGGUGAGUAAUGCCUAGGAAUCUGCCUGUUAGUGGGGGAUAACUCGGGGAAACUCGGGCUAAUACCGCAUACGUCCUACGGGAGAAAGUGGGGGAUCUUCGGACCUCACGCUAACAGAUGAGCCUAGGUCGGAUUAGCUAGUAGGUGAGGUAAUGGCUCACCUAGGCGACGAUCCGUAACUGGUCUGAGAAGAUGAUCAGUCACACUGGAACUGAGACACGGUCCAGACUCCUACGGGAGGCAGCAGUGGGGAAUAUUGGACAAUGGGCGAAAGCCUGAUCCAGCCAUGCCGCGUGUGUGAAGAAGGUCUUCGGAUUGUAAAGCACUUUAAGUUGGGAGGAAGGGUAUUCACCUAAUACGUGGGUACUUUGACGUUACCAACAGAAUAAGCACCGGCUAACUCUGUGCCAGCAGCCGCCGUAAAAC
rnacentral:rRNA from 1 species